rnacentral:lncRNA from 1 species
CAGAAGUCUUGCUCAAUGCUCCUGGCUGAAUAAACCAUUUCCUUCUUUAACUCAGUGUCUGAGGAGUUUUGUCUGCGGCUCGUCCUGCUACAUUUCUUGGUUCCCUGACCGGGAAGCGAGGUGAUUGGCAGAUGGUCGAGGCAGCUCCUUAGGCGGCUAAAGCCUGCCCUGUGGAACAUCCCUGCAGGGGACUCUGACCAGCCUGAGCGACGUGGAUCCUGAGAGCGCUUCUGGGUAGGCAUUUGCCCCAGUGGGAUGCCUCACCAGAGCAGUGUGUGGAAGGCCCCCAUGGAGUCUCAACACGGUGGCUGAACACCGGGAAGGAACUGGUAUUUGGAGUCCGGACAUCUGAAACUUGGUCAGUGAGAGAGCAUAUGCCCUGGUAGAUUCCUGAGAAAAGGAACAGGAGGAUGAGAGGUUCAAUGUUUUACACAUUGCUGGUCUGAUAGCUCAGCUUCAUUCACAGUGUUUGUGAGGCAAACAUGUUCCAAAGAAGGCCAGAAAAAGCCCAGCCAGGUUGAAUUCUGUGGAAAAUUCACCGAAAAGAUACAAUGCAUUUGAAACAAAACAAAACAAAACCAAAAAACACCUGCAGAAGUCCACUUGAAAAACCUGGGCUUAUUCACUCUCUGUGCCUCCCAUAUUCUAGAAGAUGUCUGCACAUAGAAUGUACAGAAAAAUGUCUGUCUUUGCCCAUGAUGGGAGAGGAAAGGCCAUUGUGUCUCUUGUUAGCAGAUCAAGAUUGGCAUUAGAGCUCAUCGAGGAGAACUGUGUCUUGACCAGCAUCCUUGAUCACUGAGGACACUGGUGGUCCUAUGUUGGUGAGGUGCCAGCUUUUCACACUCAGUCUUUUUCUAAUGCAGUCACUCCAGAGCCAUUUCUUAGCCAAUGAUCUCUGUCCUGUUGUCUCACAUAAAGUGAGCAGCCCCAUCUCUGUUACAUUCAAGUACUUACUAUUUGUGUUCAACUCUUUUGAUGAUAAGAAUGGCCAUAGUUUUCAAAGGAUCUGGGGUUUUCCACCCAUGCUUUCCUGCAUUUUUUCCCCUUUCAUGUCACCAUGAUCUGCCACCACCCUUGUUCCUACCUGCCCAGGUCAUGCCAUGUUCCAUGAGCAUGGAGGUGUGGAUUGGUGGCACCUCAUGAUUUUAUUUGUUAAUGAAUUUUUAACAAUUAACAUAGAAAUGAUUUGCCUGUAUUCAGUAAAUUAAUAUGAAUUGAACAUAAGAGUAGAGAAUUCACAGUUUUCUAAGCAACGAUUUCUGCUUUCAGGAAGUGUGAAGGCUAUUUGAAGGGAGCGAACACCACAAUAAAGAGUAGUUCAUGAUGCCACAGGGCAAGUACAAAUACUCUUUCCCAAAAGCUCACAGGGAGGUGAGGUCUAUGUGGGGAUGGAAUCCACUCACAGAGGAAUUUGAGCAGGAUCAUGAAGGCAUAGAACAUGCAGCGAUGAGAGCCACAGAGAGGAAAUGAAUGCAAGAUGUAAUGGCCAUGAAAGAUUAUGAACCAACCCCAUGCAGUUUACUGGGUCAACUGUGCCUAUUAAAAGGCAUAUUUCUUUCAUUAGCUAUGCACUUUAUGAUCAGGUUUUAUGCCCUGGCCCUAUGAAAGGAACUUGAAUGUAGAAUGUUUCACAGGCAGGGUGGUCAUUUUGAUUAGAGCACUUGCCUCCUUACCAGCCCUGCUGCUUCCAUAAACAUUUCAUCAGGAAUUUUCAUCAGUUCACACUCUCUGUGAGGCUCUUUAGACAUCCGAGCAAUGCUGCCAAGGGGAUGUUUGGUCUUUUAAAUUGUGAUGACAAAAUAAACUUUUAUGAACCCUCUUGCUCAAUAAACACAGCCUGGCAUUUUAAAUGUCAGCACAUCUCAAUUUUGUGAGAGGGUCUGCCUGAGAGGAUUGACUUGAAACUACACAGCAAAGAGGAGGUGCUAGUCCACAUUUGCGUGUUCCAUUUGCAUGAGCAAAAUGGACCUGAAGAUGGAGCUGCAGCAAGAGGGGAGGCACAUGUCCAAUAGCAAGGAAGCCAUCAAGAAUCCUUUAUUCUUGAAGGGGUAUGCAACAGACUGGAAAGGAUCUCAUUUUUCUUUGCUUUAAAUGCUUUGGUAAAUGUAAUAUGUUUCUACUUUUGGGGAAAGUUUAGGGGCUUUCAUAAUCAUGUUUGUGUUGACCUUCAACAACAGAGAUAAGCUGCUAUUCAGCCUUUUGAACCCCGAAAAGAGACCCAGGACUCUUAUACAUUAAGUAGUUAAUGCUGACUUUAUUGCUAUACCAAUACCAUGGUGACCAUUUCUGAUGAAAGAUUAGUAGGUAAUCUCAAGGUAGUUCUCAACCUCUUCUUUCACAAGCAAAGCAAAACAACAAUUGUGAUAUCCAUAGUCAAUACAUUCCUUGAUCUCACCUCAGUAACCAACUCUACCACUCCACCCCCCAAGUAGACACCCUAGUUGUUUUGCCUCUUAUUCUCACAAAGUAACCCUUGAAUGGUUAUCUUAAAGUUAAUUUUGCAUGUAACAGAAAGUGUAAGAUUUGUUCUUUAAAUAAAGAGUGAGAGCUGAACUGCACAUAUCAUUUUUUAGGCCCUUCAACUUCUCAGCAUGCUUGGUUUAGCCAAUGCAUGGCAUGGCUCAGUUGUUGAGUAAAUAUUUGUUAGAUGAAUAUGUGAAUCAAUACCUAAAAUAAGAAGCAGGCAUAUUGCCAUACCUUGCUAAAUAUCUCUACGGUCCUAAGAGAAGAGGAUCAGUGUUUAGUUUCUUGAUUUCCUUAAAUGUUAAUUUCUAUCUAUGAAUUGUCACAAAAUUACACUUAUAAAUCACUCACAUGGUCAUGCAUUCCC